UCCCUGGUGGUCCAGUGGUUAAGACUCUGUACUUUCACUGCAGGGGUGUGGGUUUGAUCCCCGGUUGGGGAG
rnacentral:tRNA from 1 species